AGGAGGAACAGCCCUAGUGGCCGCCGCCAGCUCUGGAAACCUGGAUUAAGCUCAGCAGUAGCUCCAGAGCUCUCUGUCUGCAGGGCCUGGAGUCUCCGGGGCGGG
rnacentral:pre_miRNA from 1 species